UAAAAACCAGACCCUAUGGUGUUGGGUAGA
rnacentral:piRNA from 1 species